GGUCCCGUAGCUCAACUGAAUAGAGUAUCUGACUACGGAUCAGAAGGUUAGGGGUUUGAAUCCCUUCGGGAUCA
rnacentral:tRNA from 1 species